CUAUUAUCUCCAGAGCUGAUCUGUAGCUUUGAUGCCUUCGGCAGGAAGGUGAAACUUUAUUAAUCAGCUCAGUACUGAAAUAAUGAGGGGGGCAUUUUGUAACAUAAAUAUUUUCAAAUUGGAAAAAAAAUAGUUGGAGUGCAGGGUUUUCUGCUGGCCUUCCAUGUUAAGAACACUCUGCAGAGCCUAUUCCCCAGCACCACACGUUGGGAGAAACAACUGCAAGUGGCAAGUCAAUAUCAUUCCCAAUAAACUAAAGAAGUUCAAGUGAUCUUGUAGUGAGGAUAAUCAUCCUUGAGUGGAAUUCAGGAAGCCUACAUGUGGUCCUGCUAUGUCUCGCCGCCCAGAGAAUCAUUGUUUUCAAGCUAAACCAGAUUGCAGAACAGGACUGCUUCUUGUCCCGUGUGUCAUAUAUCAGAGGGAUUUUCUAAUAAAGUACU